rnacentral:lncRNA from 1 species
UAUCGUGAAAUCAUGAUAUCUUCUACCUGCAGCGUCAAGGAAGAAAACCUUGUUGUGUAGGGUUUCAAGUCGUCCUCGUCCUUGUUCCGAACAUUAGAUUCAAUGAGCAUGGAGAGGUCACGAUAGUAGAGGUGGUGGAGAGAAGAAGUGCCGCGGUGGGGGAUGGAGGGAGAUGAAGAGCGGGGUAUCGCAAAUGGGUGGGAUACGCAGGGGAUUGGCGGGUUUCGCAGACGCGAUAGUUACGGGAGAGAAGGCCUUCGACAUGGAGAGGGAAAAGAUGGGAGACGAAAAUGUGAAGGAAAGGGGUAAAAAAAAAAAAAACUCAUAGGCCCUAGCAAAUCUUAGUGUAGUGUUUUGAAAAAUUUAUCAGUUCGAAUGAUUAUAGUUUGAACGACUCAUCGAUACUUCUAAUAAGUGUUGGGGCGAAUUGGAAUCAUUUUCAGUUAACGACACCCUGUCAAUCGCAGGGAACAAUUAACGAUCCCUACACAUAGACACACAAGGAGCCAUUCUACAAGAAAGUUAGAGAGGAGAGGAGAGGAGAAGAGGGAGAUUACAUCUUGGUGCCCUCCGGAAUGACAAAUCGCUCGUAGUGAUUCGGGGCAUUCAUAGCUCUCUCUUUCCUUCUGGCUCCGCCUCUUCCUGCUGCUACAACUCUCUCACUCUCCUCCUCUCGCGACGUGAGUCGAGUCCUGGAACAACCCCACCCCCGGUCUCCAGGGCACUAGCUACUAGUAAAGGAGGAUAACGGGUCGGAUUUAGAGAUCUAAACUGUCUAGGAUUGUGGGCGGCUUUUGAAAAAUCCAAAAUUAAACUGAACUCAAAAUCGAAAUACGAAUCCGAAUCGAAAUGACCAUGUGAAAAUUUAAACUCGAAACUAAACCCGCUGAAUAAAUAGAAAACCCAUAUAUUAGAAUAAUAUAAACUACUAAAUCAAAUAUCUGUAAAAUAUCAAUAUUUAUAUACAAAAUAUGUUUAUGCAAAAUUUCAAUAUUUAUUUAUACGCAAAAUAUGUUUUUAUACAUGGGUUUCGUUUUACGUUUUGUUUUUUUGUUCAGGUUCUAUGCAGAUAUAAGCAUAAACGACAACUGAAACAAAACUUAUCAAAGUUUUUAGUUUUUAAUUAAAACCAUUUUAUUGUUACUAAUAUUUAGAUAUAUUCAGAUAUAUAUUCAUAUAUAUGUGUAUAUACAUACAUACAUACAUGCAUAUAUAUAUAUAUAGGGUUGGACUGGAAUAUUAUUGAUAGUAUUUGACCCUUUUUGCUAUCACGUUUUUAACCCCUGGAUGAGAAAUUGUAGGGUUAGGUAUGAUAUUAGUCCCUUAGGGUUGAGUGGCCCCUCUAGGAUUGAGUGGUCUCUCUAGGGUUGAGUGCUCCCCACUGAGUUAUAAUAUUUAAUCCAAUGGUUAGAAAUGAUAAAAAAAUUGAUCCAAAGACUAAAAACUU